UACGGAGGGUGCAAGCGUUAUCCGGAUUCACUGGGGUUAAAGGGUGCGUAGGUGGGCUAGUAAGUCCGUGGUGAAAUCUCUGAGCUUAACUCGGAAACUGCCGUGGAUACUAUUAGUCUUGAAUCUCGUGGAGGUAAGCGGAAUAUGUCAUGUAGCGGUGAAAUGCUUAGAUAUGACAUAGAACACCGAUAGCGAAGGCAGCUUGCUACACGAGUAUUGACACUGAGGCACGAAAGCGUGGGGAUCAAACAGG
rnacentral:rRNA from 1 species